AGCGGCAGAUGGGUGAGUAACACGUGGGGAACCUGACCCUAAGUCUGGGAUACCAUUUGGAAACAGGUGCUAAUACCGGAUAAUAAAGCAGAUCGCAUGAUCAGCUUUUGAAAGGCGGCGUAAGCUGUCGCUAAGGGAUGGCCCCGCGGUGCAUUAGCUAGUUGGUAAGGUAACGGCUUACCAAGGCGACGAUGCAUAGCCGAGUUGAGAGACUGAUCGGCCACAUUGGGACUGAGACACGGCACAAACUCCUAUGGGAGGCAGCAGUAGGGAAUCUUCCACAAUGGACGCAAGUCUGAUGGAGCAACGCCGCGUGAGUGAAGAAGGUUUUCGGAUCGUAAAGCUCUGUUGUUGGUGAAGAAGGAUAGAGGUAGUAACUGGCCUUUAUUUGACGAUAAUCAACCAGAAAGUCACGGCUAACUACGUGCCAGCAGCCGCGGUUAUACGUAGGUGGCAAGCGUUGUCCGGAUUUAUUGGGCGUAAAGCGAGCGCAGGCGGAAAAAUAAGUCUAAUGUGAAAGCCCUCGGCUUAACCGAGGAACUGCAUCGGAAACUGUUUUUCUUGAGUGCAGAAGAGGAGAGUGGAACUCCAUGUGUAGCGGUGGAAUGCGUAGAUAUAUGGAAGAACACCAGUGGCGAAGGCGGCUCUCUGGUCUGCAACUGACGCUGAGGCUCGAAAGCAUGGGUAGCGAACAGGAUUAGAUACCCUGGUAGUCCAUGCCGUAAACGAUGAGUGCUAAGUGU
rnacentral:rRNA from 1 species